rnacentral:misc_RNA from 1 species
GGAACAAGUACUAUAUAUAUGACCAGCAGUUUUUAGGCAACAGAGUGAAGUAAACACCACGCUUAGGUUGAGAAGAAAACUCAUUACUACAAAGAAAUUCCUAUUUAUAACUACAAAGUUAAACGAAAACAUUGAAAGAAGAAAUAAUGUUUGGAUUACAGCUGAAAAACAUAAAUGCACUCAAAACACUUGAACGCUGCCUGCAUACUCUCAUUUAGUAGCCUGUGCAAUGAUGUUACUAAGAGAACUUGCCUCUUCUUUGGCAGCCUCAACCAAAGAAUCCUGUGCAGCAAUUAGACGUGCAACUGUUUUCUUGCUUGAUUCUUGGAGUUCACCAGCAAUCACAAGUUCGUCCAAUAUAUAGUAUGCCUUGUGAAAAUUGAAAAUUAAGUCUAGCUCACAUACACUUCCAAAGUAUCGGUCCAGAAUCUCAACAAAAUGGUGUAUGAUUUCCAGGACCUCCAACUCAUUGUCCUCUUGGUCUAUGCACAUACAGAAAUACAGGCUUGCAUAUCUUUUAUAAACGACUUUGUAUCCUCUCCACUCGACAAAAUUGCAAAGCUUCGGUCCUCGAGUGAGAAUCAUACCACUUAAUUCACGGAUUACCUUGGUUCUCUCUUUUUGUGAAUAUGGUGAAUACCACUUGGUUAGCCUCACCUUUCCCUGUCGGCUAAUGAGCAGAACAAAAUGAAUCAUGGCUGGAGAUCCAAGGUACAAACAACUCCUCCUUCUUCUUCUUUGGAGUUGGGGGAUUUUUUGUUCCUAUUCCUAUUAUUUCUAUAUACUCUAUUUUCUGUACAGUCUUGUAUUUUUU